rnacentral:rRNA from 1 species
UACGGAGGGGGCGAGCGUUGUUCGGAAUCAUUGGGCGUAAAGGGCGCGUAGGCGGCCGUCCAAGUCGGGUGUGAAAUCCCUCGGCUCAACCGAGGAACUGCACUCGAUACUGGUCGGCUAGAGUCCGGGAGGGGAUGGUGGAAUUCCUGGUGUAGCGGUGGAAUGCGCAGAUAUCAGGAAGAACACCGACGGCGAAGGCAGCUCGCUGGGACGGUACUGACGCUGAGGCGCGAAAGCGUGGGGAGCGAACAGGG